AGAGUUUGAUCAUGGCUCAGAGCGAACGCUGGCGGCAAGGCUUAACACAUGCAAGUCGAACGGGCGUAGCAAUACGUCAGUGGCAGACGGGUGAGUAACACGUGGGAACGUACCCUUGGUUCGGAUCAACACAGGGAAACUUGUGCUAAUACCGGAUAAGCCCUUACGGGGAAAGAUUUAUCGCCGAAGGAUCGGCCCGCGUCUGAUUAGCUUGUUGGUGAGGUAAUGGCUCACCAAGGCGACGAUCAGUAGCUGGUCUGAGAGGAUGAUCAGCCACACUGGGACUGAGACACGGCCCAGACUCCUACGGGAGGCAGCAGUGGGGAAUAUUGGACAAUGGGCGCAAGCCUGAUCCAGCCAUGCCGCGUGAGUGAUGAAGGCCCUAGGGUUGUAAAGCUCUUUUGGCGGGGAAGAUAAUGACGGUACCCGCAGAAUAAGCCCCGGCUAACUUCGUG
rnacentral:rRNA from 1 species